rnacentral:rRNA from 1 species
AACGAACGCUGGCGGCAUGCCUAACACAUGCAAGUCGAACGGGACCUUCGGGUCUUGUGGCGCUGGGGUGCGUACGGAGUGGGAACCUGCACUUGGGUUCGGAACACCUCCCCGAAAGGGGUGCUCAUACAGGUUAAUGUCUUCGGACAUAAGAUUUUUGGCUUUUGGCUGGGCCCGGGUUGGAUUCGCUAGUUGGUAGGGUAAAAGCCUGCUAUGGCGACGUUCCAUAGCUGGUCUGAGAGGAGGACCAGCCACGCUGGGAAUGAGACACGGCCCAGACUCCUACGCAGAGCAGCAGUAGGGAAUAUAGGAGGAUGGGCGAAGGCCUGAUCCAGCAAUGCCGCGGGAGUGAUGAAUCCCGUAGGGAUGCAAAGCUCUCUGACCCGGGAUGAUAAUGACAGUACCGGGAGAAGAAGCACCGGCUAACUCCGUG